rnacentral:rRNA from 1 species
UACGAAGGGGGCUAGCGUUGCUCGGAAUCACUGGGCGUAAAGGGUGCGUAAGCGGGUCUUUAAGUCAGAGGUGAAAUCCUGGAGCUCAACUCCAGAACUGCCUUUGAUACUGAAGAUCUUGAGUUCGGGAGAGGUGAGUGGAACUGCGAGUGUAGAGGUGAAAUUCGUAGAUAUUCGCAAGAACACCAGUGGCGAAGGCGGCUCACUGGCCCGAUACUGACGCUGAGGCACGAAAGCGUGGGGAGCAAACGGG